CUAUUGAGGAGAGAUACAGGAGAGAACUCAGGUACACGUAUGAAUUUCAGAUCUCCACUGACAGCGUAAUGGGAACAUAGACAACUAUACUUGCAGAAACCUGCAGAGACUCAGUUACAUCCACUUGGGAUGCAAAUGCUGGAUGAAGUAAUCGUAUUUUCUUGCUGGAACAGAAGGGAAUGAAAAUGGCAGAAUGAUCAUUCAAUAUGGUAACAAAGCUCAAAGCAGUUGGGAGUGAAAGUGACUG
rnacentral:lncRNA from 1 species